rnacentral:rRNA from 1 species
AACGAACGCUGGCGGCAGGCCUAACACAUGCAAGUCGAACGGCAGCACGGGGGCAACCUUGGUGGCGAGUGGCGAACGGGUGAGUAAUGCAUCGGAACGUGCCCAGUAGUGGGGGAGUAACUAGUCGAAAGAUUAGCUAAUACCGCAUACGACCUAUGGGUGGAAAGCGGGGGAGUUCGCAAGAACCUCGCGCUAUCGGAGCGGCCGAUGUCUGAUUAGCUAGUUGGCGGGGUAAAAGGCCCACCAAGGCGACGAUCAGUAGCUGGUCUGAGAGGACGACCAGCCACACUGGGACUGAGACACGGCCCAGACUCCUACGGGA